AUCCUGCGCUAAAAUGGGCUCUAAUGUCUGCGCUAAAAUGUCCCUUAGUAGUUUUGCGCUAAAAUUAUCAGCGCCCAUCUGAUUUCUUGUUCAUAGUUGAGAUUAAAUUUCUUUUUGUUUAUGAAAUUGGCAAAUUUGAUUAAAUUAAUUUUAUUGUGGUUAAUUUUGAAUUUGCUUUCAACUGUUGAUUCUUUUAACAUUUAAUACAGGCGAUGAAACAAACGAUUCAACUAAUAAACAUUUUAUUCGGAAAUUAUCAAAAGCGGAUAAAAGAAUAAGCCCUUGACACCAUUUGCGAGUAUGAUGGUCUUGUGAAACAAUGAUAGUCCGUCGGAAGGGGGCGAUAAAUGACUGACCCGUGUUUUAUUAAGAGAGACUCAGAGAAAUAACUCUUGCACAUAAAAGUCACCCUUUUAGAUUUCGAAAAGAGCAGGCUAAGGCUACAAGGAAGCACUCGCACCCUCAAAAUGGAAACGGAUUAAUAUAAGUUGUAAUAACU
rnacentral:lncRNA from 1 species